rnacentral:rRNA from 1 species
CCAGACUCCUACGGGAGGCAGCAGUGAGGAAUAUUGGUCAAUGGGCGAGAGCCUGAACCAGCCAAGUCGCGUGAGGGAAGACGGUCCUAUGGAUUGUAAACCUCUUUUGUCGGGGAGCAAAAAGGCCUCGUGAGGCCACAAGCGAGAGUACCCGAAGAAAAAGCAUCGGCUAACUCCGUGCCAGCAGCCGCGGUAAUACGGAGGGUGCGAGCGUUAAUCGGAAUUACUGGGCGUAAAGCGCUCGUAGGCGGUAUGUCAAGUCAAGGGUGAAAUCCCCGCGCUCAACGUGGGAACUGCCUUUGAAACUGGCAAACUGGAGUGUGUGAGAGGAUAGUGGAAUUCCAGGUGUAGGAGUGAAAUCCGUAGAUAUCUGGAGGAACAUCAGUGGCGAAGGCGACUAUCUGGCACAUAACUGACGCUGAGGAUCGAAAGCGUGGGUAGCAAACAGGACUAGAUACCCGUGUAUC